UAAACACAUCGGAACGUGCCCAGUCGUGGGGGAUAACGUAGCGAAAGCUACGCUAAUACCGCAUACGAACUCUGGUUGAAAGCGGGGGACCUGCAAGGGCCUCGCGCGAUUGGAGCGGCCGAUGGCAGAUUAGGUAGUUGGUGGGGUAAAGGCUCACCAAGCCGACGAUCUGUAGCUGGUCUGAGAGGACGACCAGCCACACUGGGACUGAGACACGGCCCAG
rnacentral:rRNA from 1 species